rnacentral:tRNA from 1 species
GGGAAUGUGACUUAGUGGUAGAGUGCUUGUCUAGCAUACAGGAGGUCCUGGGUUCAAUUUCUCAGUACCA